rnacentral:rRNA from 1 species
CUACGGGGGGCUGCAGUGGGGAAUAUUGGACAAUUGGGGAAACCCUGAUCCAGCAAUGCCGCGUGUGUGAAGAAGGCCUGCGGGUUGUAAAGCACUUUCGGUUGGGAGGACUGCUUCUAGCACUAAUAUUGUUGGAAGUUGACGUUACCUUCAGAAGAAGCACCGGCUAACUCCGUGCCAGCAGCCGCGGGUAAUACGGAGGGUGCAAGCGUUAAUCGGAAUUACUGGGCGUAAAGCGCGCGUAGGCGGCUAGAUCAGUCGGGUGUGAAAGCCCCGGGCUUAACCUGGGAACUGCAUCCGAUACUGUCUAGCUUGAGUACAGGAGAGGAGAGUGGAAUUCCACAUGUAGCGGUGAAAUGCGUAGAUAUGUGGAGGAACACCAAUGGCGAAGGCAGCUCUCUGGCCUGAUACUGACGCUGAGGUGCGAAAGCGUGGGGAGCAAACAGGAUUAGAUACCCUCGUAGUC